GAGUGAAGAGAUGCGACAAGGGAAUGUGAAAUUACAAAGUCGAACACUUUGUGUCUUGGGGUAGUAAUCGUUAGGUUUCGUGUUCAACGAAGCAAAGUGUCAAGUGCGUGUGAGAGAGAGAAGCAUCUUUUGGGAAAGUGGUGUGGUCGUCUCAAUUGAACAUAAAAAAAACAUCAAUCUUCAAGACCGAUCCAAUUCUCUUUGUUCCCUGUCUCUCUGGGCCUGUUGAUGUUGUUUAAAUCUUUAUAUUCAUCAUUCUCUUUCCGGUUAUACGUAUUUUUGUCCGUUCAUCUUUGUCGGCACACGUCCUCCAAC
rnacentral:lncRNA from 1 species